CCGCCAUCUCACUUGAGGUGGCGUUUUUUU
rnacentral:sRNA from 1 species